rnacentral:rRNA from 1 species
UACGGAGGGUGCAAGCGUUAUCCGGAUUUACUGGGUUUAAAGGGUGCGUAGGUGGGUAGGUAAGUCAGUGGUGAAAUCUUCAAGCUUAACUUGGAAACUGCCAUUGAUACUAUUUAUCUUGAAUACUUUGGAGGUAAGCGGAAUAUGUCAUGUAGCGGUGAAAUGCUUAGAUAUGACAUAGAACACCAAUUGCGAGGGCAGCUUACUACACAGUUAUUGACACUGAGGCACGAAAGCGUGGGGAUCAAACAGG